GACGAACGCUGGCGGCGUGCCUAAUACAUGCAAGUCGAGCGCAGUUGCGAACGGGUGAGUAACGCGUAGGUAACUACCUAUUAGCGGGGGAUAACUAUUGGAACCGAUAGCUAAUACCGCGUACUAGUAGAUGGAUCUGCGUGGUAUUGGCUAGUAGGUAGGGUAAUGGCCUACCUAGGCAACGAAACAUAGCCGACAUGAGAGGGUGAUCGGGAACACUGGGAAUGAGAAAUGGGUCCGACUUCUACGGGAGGCAGCAGGAGGGAAUCUUCGGCAAUGGGGGGAACCCUGACCGAGCAACGGCGGCGGAGUGAAGAAGGGUUUUGGAUCGUAAAGCUCUGUUGUUAAGGGAGCGGUACUUAAACAGAAAGGGACGGCUAACUACGUGCCAGCAGCCGCGGUAAUAC
rnacentral:rRNA from 1 species